CAGUAGCGUAUAUUAAUGUUGUUGCAGUUAAAAAGCUCGUAGUUGGAUUUCUGACUUGACGCGCCUGGCCCGCCUUGCAUUUCGCGGGUGAGUGCCGGAGCGCGUCGGUCAUCCUUCUAGAGAACGGCGCUACCCUUCACUGGGUCGGCGUCGCAAUCUAGAUCUUUUACUUUGAAAAAUUAGAGUGUUCAAGGCAGGCUCGCGCUGUGAAUACAUUAGCAUGGAAUAAUAAUCUAGGACUUUGUUCCUAUUUUGUUGGUUUCUUAGGAAUUAAGUAAUGAUUGAUAGGGAGUAGUUGGGGGUUGGCUAGUAUUCUAGCGGCCACGAGGUGGAAAUUACUUGGUAUUCGCUGAAGACUAACUUAUGCGAAGACAUUCACCAAGGAUGUCUUCUUUAA
rnacentral:rRNA from 1 species